UUCACCAUGUUAGCCAGGGUGGUCUCGAUCUCCUGACCUCGUGAUCCGCCCACCUCGGCCUCCCAAAGUGCUGGGAUUACAGGCUUGAGCCACUGCGCCCGGCUACAAUUAUUAAUUAACUACUUACAUCAGGCAGAGUAAGUAACAAUUUGGCACAAAUCAUUUUGCCUAACCAAGUUCCUAUCCUCCAGUACUCACUUCUUCCCUUUCACUAGAAUGUACCUUUAGUUCCUUGCAAACUUUCCUUUAUUUCCCCAAAUUACUCCUUCUUCCUUUUAGUCCUUUAUUCCCAAAUAAAUUUACCAAGUUCUUACAGAUUCUUUUCCUUAUAAGGUACACACCCCUAUGGCUAAAGUUGAAGGACAGCCUCUCUCAGGCCGGGACAGGAUGACAAGGUAGCUACAGGGAAACUGCAGUGAAGUUUGGCUCCAAGCAUGACACAAACAUGGGCUAACCUUGAAGAAAAAAAAGACUUAACGCUACCUACGCUCAAUGUUCCACACCUCUUAAGCCAGUACUCCUGUAUUUGGUGUGUCUGGCAGCAAAGAAAAUAAAAUAUACCUCGUCUGUGCUCCAUUUGGAAACUUUACUGGCAGGGAUUCCAGCGACAGUUGGAAGAAGUUUGCUUUGCUGCUCCCAGCGCAAGGGCAGACAUGGAAUUGGGGACUUAAAGGACAGAAAGACAGCUGACCGACGCUGUGCCUGCUGGACGGUGGGUUCUUCCCGGGCACCUGGUCAAUGAAAACAAAUGCGGAAUCACUCUCUGAAAGCAGCAAGCCCCAAAUGCCAUGCAUCUCCCAGAUAAUGAGACUGGGGUGGGGGUGGUUGAAGCACUGGUUCCUCUCAGCAUUAUGCUAUUGAAUAGGCUCUUCUUUGUCUUUACGGAAGGUCACUAUAAAAAACAGCCUGUAAAUUCAACUGAUAUUAUUUGCUACAGCACUCAUUGCUAAAAAUAUGCUUCAUUAUGUUGUUCAA